AAAAAGUUUACACUGCUCUUGAAAUACGCCUUUGCAAGAAAUAUUAUUUUCUUUAGCUUUGAUGAGCUAUAUGCUCUCAUAACCAAAUACACAUCCUCAAGAUUUGACUAUGUUAAAGCCUACAACAAAUUCAUUCCCUUCCAUCUGACCUCAUGUGGCAUCUGAGUUCUAACACAAAAUUUAUAAGAGAAAAAGAGAAUGGAAAAUGCCGACUGUGUCUGCUGUAUAUGACAAAAAUCCCCUACUCAAGCAGAUUUCUUUAACCAUCUCACCAUUUUUAAGCUGCUACUGCUACCUUCUUAGCAUCUUUCUUCUCUGUCUUGAGAAUUGGUACCACUUCAGGCUUUUCAACUCCUUGAAUAUCCGUAAUCCUCAACUUUGUUAAUUCCUGUCGAUGCCCUCGUGUUCGUCGAUAAUUCUUUCGUCUCUUCUUCUUGAAUAUCAGUACUUUAGCAUCUAAUGCAUGCUCCUCAACAACAGCAUGAACAGCUGCAUCAGGCAAUACAGGCCUGCCAAUGAUUGUCUGUGUCUUUGAGCCCAGCAGCAGAACCUUGUUUAGAAUCAACUUGUCAUUGACUUCACAGAACUUCAGUUUCUCCACAAAAAUGGAAUCGCCAUUGCUCACUUUAAACUGGUGGGAACCAAUCUGAAUAACAGCAUAAACGGGUUCAUAUGGUUUGAAAACCCGGUCCGAUUUCUGAAGUGGGCCGAUCACCUUAUAUCCAAUUUCUGCCGCCUCGUACUCUUUCUCCUCCGGAGUGUAUACUCUACCGGGCUCACUAUUCGAUUUGAAGCCCUCAACGUCAUCAUCAUCGUCAUCAUCAUAAUCUGUUUCAUCUUCACUUUCAUCCUCUUCCUCCUCGUCGCUAUUGCUCGGUCGAUUCGAAGAGAAAUGCCGGUGGAAAGAUGAAAGUUGAGUGGUAACUUGGGGGCAUUUGGGAGACGAAGUUAGUGUGUUGAUGGAAUUGAGCAGUGGUGGGGUUAGGGUUUGAGGGGAACAAAGAGACGGGUUUGGAGAGAGAAGGUAUGAUAAAUGACGGGUUAGGGUUUGAAGGCAUCGCCGAUUUGCCAUUGCUUGGCUGAGCUUUGAGCUGACGAGGAAGAAGGUUUU
rnacentral:misc_RNA from 1 species